CCUUGUGUCAUUUUUCUGCUCAUGUUUCUAUUUUCCCUAGAUUCGUUUGCAUUAUUUCUCAUUAGUGAUUGUGUUAUAUGGUCCCCUAUAAGAAGGAAGAAAUGUAGAGCUGCACCACAUCCAGCUCUCUGGCUUGAUCUUGAGGAAUAUUUGCUACUCAUCUUUCAGCUGCAUCAGCUAACCAUAUUUGACCACAUUGUAUGGCCUUGCUUUUCUUUGCUACAUGGGAUCAUGGUGGAGUCUUAUGGUUCCUGACUGUUCUGACCUGGAAAGUGCUACUUCCUGGCCAUAAAAUGGCACCUUUUGGUAUCAUGCGAUUUGCAGUGCUGGGGAAUCGUCUGGGCUCCAAUUACCCCAGUGAUGCUCUAGAAGGGAAAGCUCUUUGGAAAAGAAAAUACAGUCCUGAGCUCUAUGUCCCAUCCGGCUCAGAAAGUCUCCAGACUCUCUCCUGUGUGGAACCUGUGGAGAGGCCUUUUCUGGAGGGAUGUGGGAGGCAGUAGCAUGAGGUGAGUGAGCCCUCCUCCCCCUU
rnacentral:lncRNA from 1 species